rnacentral:rRNA from 1 species
UGAAAUCAACUGAGAUCACCCGCUGAACUUAAGCAUAUCAU